GACGAACGCUGGCGGCGUGCCUAAUACAUGCAAGUAGAACGCAGUUUCGAACGGGAGAGGAACGUGUCGGUAACUGCCUCAUAGCGGGGGAUAACUAUCGGAAUCGAUAGCUAAUACCGUAUAAUGUGGGAUGGGCCUGCGUCGUAUUAGCUAGUUGGGGGGGUAACGGCCCACCAAGGCGACGAUAGCUAGCCGACCUGAGAGGCUGAUCGGCCACACUGGCACUGUGAGAAGUGCCAGACUCCUAAGGGAGGCAGCAGAAGGAAAUCUUCGGCAAUGGACGGAAGUCUGACCGAGCAACGCCGCGUGAGUGAAGAAGGUUUUCGAAUCGUAAAGCUCUGUUGUUAGAGAAGCGGUAACUAGCCAGAAAGGGACGGCUAACUACGUGCCAGCAGCCGCGGUAAUUC
rnacentral:rRNA from 1 species